rnacentral:rRNA from 1 species
CUACGGGGGGCACCAGUGAGGAAUAUUGCGCAAUGGACGAAAGUCUGACGCAGCCAUGCCGCGUGCAGGAUGACGGCCCUAUGGGUUGUAAACUGCCUUUUUACAGGAAGAACUCCUCCUACGUGUAGGAGGCUGACGGUACUGUAUGAAUAAGCACCGGCUAACUCCGUGCCAGCAGCCGCGGUAAUACGGAGGGUGCAAGGUUAUCCGGAUUUAUUGGGUUUAAAGGGUGCGUAGGCGGGAUAAUAAGUCAGUGGUGAAAACCUGCAGCUCAACUGUAGAACUGCCAUUGAUACUGUUAUUCUUGAGUGCGAUUGAAGUAGGCGGAAUGUGUAAUGUAGCGGUGAAAUGCUUAGAUAUUACACAGAACACCGAUUGCGUAGGCAGCUUACUAAGUCGUAACUGACGCUGAGGCACGAAAGCGUGGGGAUCGAACAGGAUUAGAUACCCCCGUAGUC